rnacentral:rRNA from 1 species
UACGUAGGGAGCAAGCGUUGUUCGGAUUUACUGGGCGUAAAGGGCGCGUAGGCGGCAAAUUAAGUCAGCUGUGAAAUCUCCGAGCUUAACUCGGAACUGUCAGCUGAUACUGAUCUGCUAGAGUGCGGAAGGGGCAAUCGGAAUUCUUGGUGUAGCGGUGAAAUGCGUAGAUAUCAAGAGGAACACCUGAGGUGAAGACGGGUUGCUGGGCCGACACUGACGCUGAGGAGCGAAAGCGUGGGGAGCGAACAGG